ACAGUUUCCCACGGGAGACGUUCGUUAUAUUUUGGACGAUAUGUAAUAAUAAACGCUAAUCGCAAUAAUUGAAGGAAAAAAUAGUAAUCAUAUUCACGUGGACGCGAUUCCGAAGAUGGAGCACUCCGGAUACAUAAUUAUUAUCACAGGUACGUGCAUUCUGUGUAUAGACUUUACGAAGUCAUAUCCGAAUAUCCGCGUUAAUAGACAGUAUUUUAAGGGUUUUCGAGGUGUUACAAACUGAAGUUUGUUAGACAUGUCGGCGUAUUAACGUUAACGUUUUAGGUUUUAUUUUCGUUUUUCGACUCGGGAGCCGUGUUAAGGAGGCGUGAUAAAGAAUACAUAUUUUCCCCCGGAUCUAAUCAACUCGUUAAUGUUUACGGACGUCGCGUAUUAAUUAAUAUAAUGCGAUUGAUAAAAACGGUUUUUGGCUUAGAAAAACACUUAUAUCGAUUUUAAUUUUUAAUUUUUUCCAUUCCCUAUAGGAAUCGAUACGACCUAUGUAAACCGAACCCCCGGGCGAGCACUAUACCGGAUUAUAUCGUGUAGGUCAGUUUUUUUAAUUCGCUCGUUAGGCGUACAAACGAUUGAACGUUUCUAUAUUUUCGCUCACGCUAUACGUGUCAUACGCGUAUUGUAAUUAGAACGCGUUUUCGGUAUGUAUCAUAAUAAUCAAAUGUAUUGCGUAGUAGGCGAGUAUACCUAAUUUAUGUCCGCAGAGAUUGUGCUACAUCAUAAUAUUAUGUAUAUAAUAUAUAGUAAUAAUAAUUACAAUAAUAGCGUAACUGACAGCGUCACACAACUGUGUAACUACAGCGAUUAUAUUAAUAUAGUAUAAUAUUGUAGCUGUUGUACGUACAGAUUUUUUUAAAGAUUUGUCGUGGAAAAACGUUUGAAAAUCCGUUGAAAUCCGCCUGAUGCUCGAAC